AUUUGGGACCCACAACAGGUGCCGGAAAACAAAGCCUCGGGUCCCGUCCCUACUGAGGGAGCUGGAGGCUCUCCACCCCGGGAAGGGGAGUAGUGAACCAUGCUGGAAGUAAUUUCCCCAGCCCAUCUUAGGACGUCGGAGGACCAGAACAAGGGAAUUCAGUGGCUGUGGAUGGAAUCCUCCUCACUGUGGGCCACCAGCAAGUAACUGACUCUCCUCAUGGAGAAAGG
rnacentral:lncRNA from 1 species